GGUCCAUACGUGCCCUGCGCGUGCUACGACGCCCAAAGACACGCGAGCGCUGCGAGAAGCAAGUUGCAAAGGCUCCACCCUCCAGUGCACUCUACAACCUGAGGCUGAGGACGCUGAAGCCAAACUAACUUUCAAACACACCUGCAUCCGAAACUCUGCAUUCCCCUCCAGGACCGAUGUUAAGGAAUGCUUUUGGAGAUGAGAUCCACCUUCCUGUGGUUCAUGAGCCCUCUCCUUUCUCCUGGAAGAAGUCCUGGGUGAUGGAUGCCAGACCUUGCCCAGCCUCAUCUAGCUCGUAGCUAACAGGUUGAUUUUGUGCCCCAGGAGGCAAGAUAUUGAGGGAGGAAGGAGGAGAAGACUGGAGGUACCUCAGCAUCUCAGCACCAUUCAGGAUGAAGAUGGAGAAACAGAUGCCAGCAGGUUCCUAUAUUUCUUGUAUGUGCUCAGUAUAAUUAAAAAAAAAAGACUUUAUCUAAAUUUCAGAUUUUAAAUAUGCCCCUUUAUGUUCCUUUCUAUUCCUAUCAUGUAACUUGACAUGUUAUUCUAAGCAUGAUAUCAUGUAACUUUACAUGAUAUCAUGUAAAGCAAGAAAUUCUAGAUGAAAUUCAAAGGGGAAAGAAUGAGAACCUAUGAAAAUUUAUUCCCAUAUACUAGAACUAAUUUAUAUAAUUGUGUGGUGCUCGGUGUUUAUAAUCCGAGUACUAUAGAACCCUUGUGGAUAAUGGGCUCUUGCUCCCUCCCUCUCUCCCGCUCCUCUUGUUCGAGGAAAGCUGUGAGAUGCUACAUUUGGAAAGCAGACAGUGGCAGCUAACAGGAGGGAGAAUACUUAAAAGAGCAUGGAUUUCCAUUUCAGAAGACCUGCCAGAGACAGACUUCUCAGGAAACAGAAAGAACACAUUUGGCCCUGUGAGAUUAAAGGAGGCUUCAGGAGGACUGGACUUUUGUGGAGAGACUUUCCCAGGCCGCACAAGAGCCCACCUUGAUGAUGACAGACAGAGCAGAUGCUUGCCCUGAUUUUCUUUGUUCGUCAGUAAAAUCUGAUAAUUAAACUGGCUUAGCAAAAGACAUACUAUUCAUAAUUGGAAUGAUUCUGCAUUUCCUAGGCCUGAUGACUUUUUUAGAACCAGAGUAAGUGACUAAAUGAAAACUUGAAGAUCAAAGAAAAGGACCAGUCGUGCUUCUUGAGGGAAAGGUGUGUCUGACAGAAUCUGUUGUCUCUGAGGACAGUAAAAUAAAAAAACAGGAAUCAUAUGGUACCUUUCUGAUUCUACUCUAAGAAAGCAACGGAAGGCAUGAUAAAACAAUCUCUAUAGAAACAUAAAUGUCAAAAUGUGAGCAUAUUUGCCUUUAUCUCAGUCUAAAAAUAAAUAAAUAAAAUGUCAAA